UAUUUUAUUUAUGUUUUUGAAAAUAUUUGUUAUUUUAAAUUACAUUGCAACUCAAAGUUUUUAGGUUCUUUUUGUCAGUCUGAUCUCUCAUCGUAGUUACAGGGUGUUCUGCAGUCGAGCAACCUAGCUAUUACUAUGAGAGCAAAGUUCUAUGCGGCUUCGUGUCGCUGCGAGGCAUGACCACAUUUCAUGCCACAAUGUCCAGCGCAGAAAGCGUUAAAUUUUCCACAUGCAGCGUCUCUGGACUUGUAACAAGCAGUCGCUGCCAAGGGUGAAAGAGGUGUCGAUGAGGCUGAGUAUGAGGACGAGAAGGAGAAUGUGGGAGCAGCAGCCGGCAGCCAGGAGGCAGGGAAACUGCACAGUCAUAGUCCCGCGACGCAGAUCGCUGAGCAGCCUUUUGUCUACGAACUGAAGAAUAAAACGUGGAACGUGUCUGCUGGGUUGCUGUGGCUGCCACACACAACGAGUGGCAGCAUGUUCCGUGUCCUGUGAAUCCAUGUGGGCUGCGUUUUGUGGAGUCUAGAGUCUGAAGUGUGGCAUGGCAAUUAGUUGGGCCUCUGCAAUUUGUGUGCUGGCCCUAAACGCUUAUUAAUGAGUUCAAGUCAAUUUUGAGAUAUGCGCAUUAUUUAUGGCGCCGCAAUAUUGCCUGCAAGUGAAAUCUAUAAAUCUUGGCCAAGCUUUAACAGAUAAGGCCAAGACGGAGGCUAAGACGAAGUCGGACUUUGAAGCUGGCGGCUGAUGAAGAUUACGAGCGCAUAAAUCGUGGAGGAUGAGGCGUGGAUUCUGCAGCGAAUUUAUGCGCACAUUAGAGAAAAUUUCAGUCAACAACAACCACCUGGGUGGACAUUAGAGUUAUGCUCAGCAUCUGUAAAACGGGGCGUGGCACUUCUGAGCAACUUUUUGAACUCCUCUCGCUGUUGUUAGCCGAAUUUC